UCCAGGAGGACGCGCCGCCGCCCCUGUUCUUCCUUCCUCCUGUCGGCAUGCGCGCCGCCGCCCCUCUGGCCGUCGCCGGCAUCCCGUUCAAGCCCGUGGAUCCGAGGAAGAUGGAGACGAUGGAUGAUGGGAAGGAGCAGCGGCUGCCUCGUGGUGACCUCGUGGAAGCAGACGGUCGACAAAGACCAUCAUCGAGGCUGCUACUGGUAUGUGUUGUGCAAUCUUCAGAGAUGAAAAAAAGAUAGUACAGAGAGGAGGGAGGAUUGCAAUUCAGACAGAUUGGCUGGAGUUCAGCAGAAGGAUUCACAUCAGUGCAAAUCUCCGGUGGGAGUAAGUUCAGAGGGGGAAAAUGCAUCUGGCCCAACCGCCUCGACCUCAACAAGCCCCGUCAAGAUUCGGCACCGUGGGCUGCACCCCCUCUCUUCCUUCACAACUAGGAGUUGUGGAGGAGCAUUGAUUGGUUGUCUACUCGGAAAGAAAAGAAGAUGAAGUACGUGACCAUCGUAGCUACUGUUGAAGAGACGUUGUGCGGCUGGUUGUGGAUGAGAAUUGUCUAGCCGGCAAUGGAUUUCCAGCAAGGGCGGCAGAGAAAAAUCCAUGACGAGAUGAACACCACCACGACAGCAUCAUGGAUGUGAUCGAGGUACCUCUGUUUCCACAGUCCUACCAGGAAAGUUUUCAGGUUAUCCUGGUUCCAGGUUCAGAUUGUUUAUAGAGUAAUCAUACAUCGAUAGUGUGUGCGCAGUCUGUACAAAAUGGAUAGGCGUAGUUUUUAUUAACCAACUUGUUGCGCAUUAUUGGUUCUAGCUGAAAUAUCUUUUUCCCUGCAUCUUACACCAAGAGAGAUUCAGGGAAGAAGUGAGGUGCAUAAGUAUAACAACAAGGCAGGCAAGAUACCAGGGUGCAGGCUUCAACAUUCAGUCAUUGUGGCCAGCAUGCACUCUUAUUUCAUAAUCUACCUUGCAUGUCUUAUAUUUGAGAGGGAAUUAGAUUUAGCCUGGCCGUUCCACAUCCAUCCCGGAUGCUACUAAAUUGUGUAACUACCUAAGUUCUUUUUUUACUGUGCAGAAAUAGCAUUGGCUGCAACGAUGGAGUAUGUUUUACAUGUUUUUUUGUUGAUGAAAAAAGUAUGCGUUUCAUCUUAACCGUACACUCGACAAAAAAUGCUAUUUUGCCAAAGAACGUCUUGUCAGCUAUGGUAUUUAAGCUCAGAGUUACUAACUCAAUGAGGUGUAUUAUAAGUUUGGGGCUACUAUUUUUUUCCAUAUACAUAAAUGUAUUUGACACCUCUGAGCAUCUAGAAAUUUUGCAAUUGGUAGAUAGCAUUUGCCUUCCGAAAAUUUUCCUUGAGACCAUGAGAGUCUGAAAUUUUUUUGAUUAAUUAUUAAUGUUGUUAUAUUUAUGCAAGUUGAAUGCUAUUAAAAAUUUCUUAUUUCCCUUAUCGGGAAUGAAUUGUGAUUUAUACUAGCUGUUAGACAAAUAUUGGAACACAAUGUGCAUGAUAGUUCUUUUUAGAAUACGUAAAGAACUUUGUGUCCCGAUGAACUCACAGAAAAAGAGAUUUGAAAUUAUGUCCAAGCCUAAAGAAGGGCCACGUCUAAAAUAGAACACCACACCCCUUUUUAAAAUUACUGACGGGUUGAUGUUGUUGCAUGUCGUGGCGGGGACGGCCGUGUAGCAGCCGUAUGCGCACUGCUUGUGCUGGGCGCCGAUCUGGAGGCCCCUGAUCGGAAGGGACGCCACUGGAGCUGCUGCGGGAGAUGGUAGCGAAUACUGAUGUGGACAUUCAAGCUGCAAUAGUGGAGCUGCAUGUGCUGCUAUAGAUUGGUCCUUGCAGCUUAUGAAGGCAUCAACUAUUGGCGGCACAAAAUUGUGGAGCUUAAGAUUCCCCACCCUUAUUUUUGAAGGAAAGCUAAAGUUCGGGGUGCUAAUCUCCGAGGAUUUUCUCAGUGGUGAACAUUUUUCUUUUGUUUCUCUUGUUCUAAUCUAUACCUCAAGAUGCAAUAGUUCUUAUUGUACUGCUUGGAUUGCUCUCUCAUUGUAAUCAAUACUGUUAAUUAAUAUAUAAUAAUCAUAUAUUUUUCA